CGCAGCCGCGGUAAUUCCAGCUCCAAUAGCGUAUAUUAAAGUUGUUGCAGUUAAAAAGCUCGUAGUUGAAUUUCGAGAUCAAAUUGUUGGUCGUGCCUCGGUACGUACUGGCAUUAUUGAUUUCUCCCUUCUGAAGAACCUUGAUGUCAUUAAUUUGGUGUCUUGGGGAAUCAGGACCGUUACUUUGAAAAAUUAGAGUGUUUAAAGCAGGCUCACGCUUGAAUACAUUAGCAUGGAAUAAUGAAAUAGGGCGUUUGAUUCUAUUUUGUUGGUUUCUAGGAUCGACGUAAUGAUUAAUAGGGAUAGUUGGGGGCAUUAGUAUUCAAUUGUCAGAGGUGAAAUUCUUGGAUUUAUUGAAGACUAACUACUGCGAAAGCAUUUGCCAAGGAUGUUUUCAUUAAUCAAGAACGAAAGUUAGGGGAUCGAAGACGAUCAGAUACCGUCGUAGUCUUAACCAUAAACUAUGCCGACUAGGGAUCGGACGAAGUUAAUUUUAUAAUGACGCGUUCGGCACCUUACGG
rnacentral:rRNA from 1 species